rnacentral:ncRNA from 2 species
CAACAAUAUAAAGACUAGGUUUUAGUAGUUUUCAAUUGACUCGGUAAUCUAAAGUUGAAAAUAAAAGGGGUUAUUGCCGAAGAGGUUAUGUUUUACCGAAUAUAAUCUUCUGGCUUUUAGGUAAAGAACUUAAAAGCUGUCAUCCUAACCAGAUGGAGUGCUAUGAUCAAA